rnacentral:rRNA from 1 species
AGGGUUCGAUUCUGGCUCAGGAUGAACGCUGGCGGCGUGCUUAACACAUGCAAGUCGAACGGAACUAUUAUGGAAAUCUUCGGAUGGGAAGUUUAGUUAGUGGCGAACGGGUGAGUAACGCGUGAGGAACCUGCCUUUCAGAGGGGGACAACAGUUGGAAACGACUGCUAAUACCGCAUAACAUGUUAUCUUCGCAUGAAGGGAACAUCAAAGAUUUUAUCGCUGAAAGAUGGCCUCGCGUCUGAUUAGAUAGUUGGUGGGGUAACGGCCUACCAAGUCGACGAUCAGUAGCCGGACUGAGAGGUUGAACGGCCACAUUGGGACUGAGAUACGGCCCAGACUCCUACGGGAGGCAGCAGUGGGGAAUAUUGGGCAAUGGGCGCAAGCCUGACCCAGCAACGCCGCGUGAAGGAAGAAGGCUUUCGGGUUGUAAACUUCUUUUACCAGGGACGAAGGAUGUGACGGUACCUGGAGAAAAAGCCACGGCUAACUACGUGCCAGCCGCGGC